rnacentral:tRNA from 16 species
GCAUUAGCUCAGUUGGUAGAGCACUUCAUUAGUAAUGAAAAGGUCCGUGGUUCGACUCCG